GACGAACGCUGGCGGCGUGCUUAACACAUGCAGGUCGAACGCUGAAGCUCAGCUUUUGUUGGGUGGAUGAGUGGCGAACGGGUGAGUAACACGUGAGUAACCUGCCCUCUUCUUUGGGAUAACGCCCGGAAACGGGUGCUAAUACUGGAUAUUCACUGAUCUUCGCAUGGGGGUUGGUGGAAAGGUUUGUUCUGGUGGGGGAUGGGCUCGCGGCCUAUCAGCUUGUUGGUGGGGUGAUGGCCUACCAAGGCUUUGACGGGUAGCCGGCCUGAGAGGGUGACCGGUCACAUUGGGACUGAGAUACGGCCCAGACUCCUACGGGAGGCAGCAGUGGGGAAUAUUGCACAAUGGGCGAAAGCCUGAUGCAGCGACGCCGCGUGAGGGAUGGAGGCCUUCGGGUUGUAAACCUCUUUCGCUCAUGGUCAAGCCGCAACUGUGGGUUGUGGUGAGGGUAGUGGGUAAAGAAGCGCCGGCUAACUACGUGCCAGCAGCCGCGGUAAUACGUAGGGCGCGAGCGUUGUCCGGAAUUAUUGGGCGUAAAGGGCUUGUAGGCGGUUGGUCGCGUCUGCCGUGAAAUUCUCUGGCUUAACUGGGGGCGUGCGGUGGGUACGGGCUGACUUGAGUGCGGUAGGGGAGACUGGAACUCCUGGUGUAGCGGUGGAAUGCGCAGAUAUCAGGAAGAACACCGGUGGCGAAGGCGGGUCUCUGGGCCGUUACUGACGCUGAGGAGCGAAAGCGUGGGGAGCGAACAGG
rnacentral:rRNA from 1 species